UUGCAGAGUUGCUUACUACUUAAGUGUUCAAUGUAGCUUUUAGUUUUCUUUUUAAAAGGCAACUUUUGAGUCUUCGCUUUUAAGUGUGUUCUUUUAGCUUAAAAAAAAAAAUAUGGGGCUUUGGCUGCAAGAAACGAGUACAUUUAGAAAAGAAAUUCUUUUUCUAUUUUAUUUUAUUUUUGUCUUAUUUAAUUUUAUUAUUUGGCUUUUUUGGGACAAGGUUUCUCCGUGUAGCCUUGGCUGCCCUGGAGCUCUCUCUGUAAACCAAGCUGGCCUCGAACUCAGUGAUUUGCUUGCUGCUGCUCCCUAAAUGCUGGGAUUAAAGGCGAGCACCAACCUCUAGCCUUAAAAAGUCCUCUGAUACAGAGCGGUGAGAGUGUACAGAGUAGUGCAGGUGUUCUGCAUUACAAAUGAAACGUAAAUAUUCUAGUGCUGCUGACUGUCAGACCUUAAUAAAGAGUAUGUGGGAGCUUUCUAAAUUAUUUCUUGCAACUACUAGUGAAUCUGUCUCUCAAAGUUUCACUAAAACCUUUAUUUUAUAAGAUAGGAUAAACGUGAUUAGCAAAAAUCAUCCAAAGCAUUUACAAAGGAGAGCAAUAGUCGGGGAUGGGGGUGAGUAUGUAUCCAAACCUGCUUGCCAUGCUCAUACCCUGACAACAGGCAUAUAGCAGAGAUGUUCCUGUCAAUUAUGUGACACAGAGUUUUCAUCACAUCCACUUUAUUAACGCUUUUCUAGAGUUCUUAAUUUGCUCUUUAUCACAGUUACUUUUUUAAGUUUUUUUUUCAAUCCUAGGUUUUCAGGACAGGGCUUCCUGACAGCAAGUCUCUCUCUCUCUCUCUCUCUCUCUCUCUCUCUCUCUCUCUCUCUCUCUCUCUCUCUCCCUUCCCCCUCCUCCUCUUCCUAUGUUAUUAUUAUUAUUACAAUAAAAAUAAGUUUAUCCAAUCAAGUAACAACUAUACAAAUGCAAGCAAUUUUAGUCAUUUUCUUUUUGGUCAACCUAUAUUAGACCUGAAAUCUUUACUGAAAGUUCCCAGGUGAUGGUGAAGUGUGGUUGGUUGCUCAUCUAUGCACAUAAUUUAUGUGUUUUAAAGACUGAGGUCAAAGCACAGAGUCAGUCAAAUACUUGAGCAAAAAGUCAACCAAUUAGAGCUUCUGUUGUACGGUGAACAGACCAGCUGAGAAGUAAAAUGAGCUGUGUCAGUCCCUAGAGGCGUGUGGGCUUAUGGAAAGAAACAAUCUGAGUGCUGUGUGCUCAGCAGGGUGGGUUAGCCGGGGAACCUUGUCUCUAGAAGGCAAGCAGUUUGCUUUAUAAUCAUCUCGCAAAUACCUUUUAAAUCCAUGCUUUAAAGGAACUGGAAUCAUUCCUAGCUACUUAAAAUACAAACUCUUAUGAAUGAGCCACAAACAUCUUUCCCCAACCUUUCAGACUGUGAGCUCUGAGUCUUGUAUGCCGUGGGAGGGAAUAGCUGAACAGUUAACUACUUUAAAAGCAAGAGUUUCAUCUGCAGAAGAUGAGAGGUAUCAUCUUGUCAAAGAUGGGGAACCUUCAGAGCUAACUAGCAGGCUACAAUCUGGCAGUCUGUCAUAUUUCAGCCAAACAGGCCCCAGCCAGUUCUCAGACGGAGUGAUGUUUCCUUUCUCUUCUCAGUGGUGUUCUUGUCCCCUAUGUGGGUGGGUCUGAUUUUGUUCCCGAUCAUUCUGACAGCUAGCAUGCCCACACACUUACUCUUGUUUACCUGGUGUCCCCAAUCCCCAGGAUGUCACCUGUCAAUGAUGGCUUCCAACCACUCAGCAGCUGGUGGUGCUGGAAGAAUGUUGCCAUGCUAGUGGAACAGUGGCUGGGGGGACUGGGACCCCAGUGACUCCAGAGUCUACUAGGCUUCUCCCACUCUAGCUUCUAGCACCCCUAGUAGUCUAGAAUCUCCUGGAAGCAAGAUCCAGGGUCUCUUUGACUCUACUUCCCCAGGGCUGCGGUCACAAACACACCACCAUGUCCAACACUUCAUAUACAUUUUCGGGAUGGAAUUCAGGUCUUCACACCAACAAAGCAAGCCCUUUACUGAGCUGUAAGUGGUGGAGUGAAUAGGUAUGGCUCCCAUCAACCCUGUGACUGAAUGCUUGGCCCAUAGGGAGUUGCACUAUUUUGUGGAUGUGGUCUUGUUGGAGGAAGUGUGUCACUAUGGAGGUGGGCUUUGAAGUCUCAUACAUGUUCAAGCUACAUCUAGUGUGACACAUAGUCUUUUCCUGCUGCCUCCAGCUCAAGAUGUAGAACUCUCAGCUUCUUCUCCAGCACUAUGUCUGCCAUGAUGAGAGUGUACUAUAAACCUCUGAAACUGUAAGCCAGACCCAGUUAAAUAUUUUCCUUCACAAGAAUUGCCACUGAGCAGUGGUGGUACAUGACUUUAAUCCCAGUACUUGGGAGGUAGAGGCAGGUGGAUUUCUGAGUUCGAGGCCAGCCUGGUCUAUAGAGUGAGUUCCAGGACAGCCAGAGCUACACAGAGAAACCCUGUCUUGAAAAAAAACCC
rnacentral:lncRNA from 1 species